AUUGAACGCUGGCGGCAGGCCUAACCCAUGCAAGUCGAGCGCGCGGCGGACGGGUGAGUAAUGUAUGGGGACUGCCCGAUAGAGGGGGGUAACUACUGGAAACGGUGGAUAAUACCGCAUACUAUCGGAUAACCCAUAUGGGAUUAGCUAGUAGGUGAGGUAAUGGCUCACCUAGGCGACGAUCCCUAGCUGGUCUGAGAGGAUGAUCAGCCACACUGGGAAUGAGACACGGCCCAGACGCCUACGGAGGCAGUAGUGGGGAAUAUUGCACAAUGGGCGAAAGCCGGAUGCAGCCAGGCCGCGUGUAUGAAGAAGGCCCUAGGGUUGUAAAGUACGUUCAGUCGGGAGGCGUUACCGACAGAAGAAGCACCGGCUAACUCCGUGCCAGCAGCCGCGGUAAUAC
rnacentral:rRNA from 1 species